rnacentral:rRNA from 1 species
CCAGCGCUGAAUUCCGUGGCCACUGGCCAUUGGGACCUGUAGCGUAUAGGUGCAGCUAUUCGGCAGUGCCGCUCACCCAAAGUCCCCUUGAGUGGGGCUACAGUCCAUAGAAGGUGCUAGACCUGUACGGGUGGUGGUGCUGUUGAUCUGGUUGCUCCUUGGAGUCGAGUUGCCUGGGAUCGCAGCUCAAAGUAGGUGGUAAACCUCAUCUAAGGCUAAAUACGGCCACGAGACCGAUAGCAAACAAGUACCGUGAGGGAAAGUUGCAAAGAACUUUGAAGAGAGAGUUCAAGAGGGCGUGAAACCGCUGAGAAGGAAACGGAUAGAGUUGACGAAACUCGGUGGCAUUCAACUGGUGCCUGGCUCUGGCUUCUGCUCGAUCGAUAACACCUCUUCACUGGGGUGCGGUUGUUGGCGGUCGCUGAAGGGUCGCGUCCUGUGUAUUUGCCAUCGGUAUGCGCCGAGAGGUUCGCUAUGGUGCGUUGACACUGCGCAAAGAGGACCGUGCCCGUCUGGGUGCGGAAACCUUUGCGGUUGGUUGAGGCGUAUCCGCGGUGAAUUUCUGCUGGUUUGCAUUGCCCCGCUGGUGCGCAACGGUUGCUGCGUGGCUGAUGUGGCUGUUGAGCGGUCGCGUGCGACUUGCUUAUAGUCGACUGUUGGCUCGUUGGCGAUGCGGUUGCGUUGGGCUUGGUGCAUCUCGGUGUGAAAGUCGACCACCUAUCCGACCCGUCUUGAAACACGGACCAAGGAGUCUAGCAUAUGCGCGAGUCAUUGGGUGGUAAACCUAAAGGCGCAAUGAAAGUAAAGAUCGCUUUAGUGCGGUUGAUAUGGGAUCCGCAGAGUUUCGGCUCUGUGGCGCACCAUAGCCCCGUCCCCGUUGCUUGCAAUAGGGCGGAGGUAGAGCGCAUACGCUGGGACCCGAAAGAUGGUGAACUAUGCCUGAGCAGGAUGAAGCCAGAGGAAACUCUGGUGGAGGUCCGAAGCGGUUCUGACGUGCAAA